rnacentral:rRNA from 1 species
GAUGAACGCUGGCGGCGUGCCUAAUACAUGCAAGUCGAGCGAACGGACGAGAAGCUUGCUUCUCUGAUGUUAGUGGCGGACGGGUGAGUAACACGUGGAUAACCUACCUAUAAGACUGGGAUAACUUCGGGAAACCGGAGCUAAUACCGGAUAAUAUUUUGAACCGCAUGGUUCAAAAGUGAAAGACGGUCUUGCUGUCACUUAUAGAUGGAUCCGCGCUGCAUUAGCUAGUUGGUAAGGUAACGGCUUACCAAGGCAACGAUGCAUAGCCGACCUGAGAGGGUGAUCGGCCACACUGGAACUGAGACACGGUCCAGACUCCUACGGGAGGCAGCAGUAGGGAAUCUUCCGCAAUGGGCGAAAGCCUGACGGAGCAACGCCGCGUGAGUGAUGAAGGUCUUCGGAUCGUAAAACUCUGUUAUUAGGGAAGAACAUAUGUGUAAGUAACUGUGCACAUCUUGACGGUACCUAAUCAGAAAGCCGCGGCUAACUACGUG